CAGUAGCCGCGGUAAUACGGAGAGGGCUAGCGUUGUUCGGAAUUACUGGGCGUAAAGCGUACGUAGGCGGCUUUGUAAGUUAGAGGUGAAAGCCCGGGGCUCAACCCCGGAAUUGCCUUUAAGACUGCAUCGCUUGAACGUCGGAGAGGUGAGUGGAAUUCCGAGUGUAGAGGUGAAAUUCGUAGAUAUUCGGAAGAACACCAGUGGCGAAGGCGGCUCACUGGACGACUGUUGACGCUGAGGUACGAAAGCGUGGGGAGCAAACAGGAUUAGAUACCCCAGUAGUCCCUGUCUCUUAUAC
rnacentral:rRNA from 1 species